rnacentral:lncRNA from 1 species
GCAAUCAUGUAAUUGAGGAUUCUCACAAAAAGAUUACAGCCCAAAUUAAAUUCCUGUACGAGGAACUUGGACUUGACAGCACCAGUGUUUUCGAGGAUCUUAAGAAAUACCUGAAAUUCUGAAACACUGCAUUCAACUGGGAAUUGGAAACACACUGAAAUAUUUCAUAGUCUUACUUCCAAUUGAGUUAGCAAAAAAAAAAUUAAUAACUUGAGACUUUUAAGUUAUUAAUUUUUUAAAAUGUGCUUCUCCAUCUAAAUUUUGCUUAGUCUACAUCUCACUUGCUUAUACUAUUCUCUCCAUUGAUGCACAUGCCCAUUAACCUAGGAAAGUAAUUUUCAAAUCAUGCUCCUUAGAAGGAUGUGGAGUAGAGGGAAGGGAAGGAUUGGUGAUAGCAGAGCUCCAGGCCUCCCUUCCAGUCAGAACAGUUGAGCAGUUUACAAAUUAGUGUCCUGCCUCUUUGCUAGCAAAUGCUUUUAGACACUGUGGCAGUGAGUCAUCCUCUAAUUUCUAUGACUGCAUUUUAAGGGAAAAGAUAAAAUUCUUCCCCUUAAAAUUCGUUAAAGUUUUUGAAUAAUCUGGGGUCCUAAUGUGUUCUGGUCAUCCCUGAUUGAUGCUAUCUGAAUAAAGUUAUAAGCUCCUAUAAGCCAUAAUUUACUUUUAAACAUUUUAUUUUUUUCAAAACAUUUGAGAACCUUUCUUAAAGCAGUUACAUUCAAGCUACAGAAAUAUCGAAGAAUUAAUGAUUGUUCACCAAGCAGCAUGCUGUACAUGAAGCUAUUACAAAUGCUUACAAUCCCACUGAAAUGCCAGUGUCUUCAUCUCUUCAUAAAGGUGCCUAACACGAGGUAUACAGUAUGUUCAGUACACUGGAAUAGCAUGCUCGAUUGGAAACAAAGCAUCUAUCUCUGAAAGCUGUUUGGCGAUGAAGGAGAUUCUUCGUGUUGUGUUCAAAGAUGAGUCCCUCUCCCUUGUCCAGAAAAAUGCCACUUGUAUCAACUUUACUGCCUUUGUCGGCAGAAUUGGUACUUAACCUUAUUCUCAUUUUAGCGGGAAGGCCCGAAAUCAUAUUAUGUAGAUUUAACAGUGUUGAUUCUCCAAAAUUCAGAACCACGAUAAAGAUUCUGUCGAUGCCAUCCAGCUCUCUUGUGUACACAACAUAGUGGCUGUCAUUCCUCAAAUGGCAAAACCAGCCCCUGUUGAGGAGUAGCUCAUUGGCAUGAAGUAGACUUAAAUCUUGAUAUAACUUCAAAGCCGAUCUGGGCUGAGUCUUUUGGACCUAUUUUUUUAAAAAAGUAUUUACGUAAGUGUUUGAUUCUAAGAAUUGUUUGUAAGUAUUUUUAAUAUAUUGUAAGGAGUUAUUUACCCAAAACACUUGCUCCAAUUUUGCCCCUUAUAAUUGCCAAAUUGUAAGCAUCAAUAAGUAGGUAAGAACAAUUUAUAUAAAAACUGAUAGAAAUGACAAAUUCGGGGUUUCGGCUUGUCUGGGAGUCAAUAAGUACGCACAGUGCUCUGCUACAUUGUAGAGUUUCUGUAGAGAUCAAAUUUGACUCCACUUUAGGAGUCCCAAAGCAAAUGUCCAUGUCUAAGAUGAAUAUUUAACUUGCAUAGUCAUUCUGUGCUAUAUUGUAACUGCCAGAUGGCCAGAAAGAAGGCAACAGUGGACUCAGACUUCUGAGGAAUUUGGGUUUGUUCCCCUUUGUAGACUAAUGUGUAGGUUGCUGUUGUGCGAAGAUCGUGUAACUUUAGCAGACAUGUAUUUCUUGCACAGCUAAUAGAAGACAAAGUUGAAAAAAAGGAUGCAAAAUAAAAAGCUGCCUAAGG